CUAACAGCUAUACCUUUGGUUACCCAACCACUCACUUCCCUGACUUCCUUGGCUGGGUGGAGCUCUGUCCUCUGCUCCUUGUGGGACAAAAGGCCCCUGGAGAACUCCUGGCUCAGAUUGAGGAACCCACAAGGGCUGUUUGUUCAGAGACAGACCCCAAGAGAUGAGCCUCUGCAGUGUGUUGCUCACAGGGGUACAUUCACAUCUGCACGGUAUGGCCUCACACUGUCCUCUCUCAGCACAAGGAUCUGCGAUCCACCUCCUACUCAACAACUUCCAGAAGAGCAUCUUCUGAAAUGCAGAAAGAAGGAAGGAGGGAGUUAGCAUGGAGAACACAUAUGGACAUCCUAACCUGGAAUGUGCAGGGGCUGCUGCUGCUUAGAGCUCUCACUGCCCACCCCAGUGAGCAAGAGCCUAUUCCUGCGAGCAGGUUACCUAAAAACUC